rnacentral:rRNA from 1 species
GCACAAGCGGCGGAGCAUGCGGAUUAAUUCGAUGCAACGCGAAGAACCUUACCAAGGCUUGACAUACACCGGUAACGCCCAGAGAUGGGUGCCCCUUUGUGGUCGGUGUACAAGUGGUGCAUGGUUGUCGUCAGCUCGUGUCGUGAGAUGUUGGGUUAAGUCCCGCAACGAGCGCAACCCUCGUCCUAUGUUGCCAGCGGGUCAUGCCGGGGACUCAUGGGAGACUGCCGGGGUCAACUCGGAGGAAGUGGGGAUGACGUCAAAUCAUCAUGCCCCUUAUGUCUUGGGCUUCACGCAUGCUACAAUGGCCGGUACAAAGGGCUGCGAUACCGCGAGGUGGAGCGAAUCCCAGAAAGCCGGUCUCAGUUCGGAUUGGGGUCUGCAACUCGACCCCAUGAAGUCGGAGUCGCUAGUAAUCGCAGAUCAGCAACGCUGCGGUGAAUACGUUCCCGGGCCUU